rnacentral:rRNA from 1 species
GACAGAGGUGCCAAGCGUUAGGCGGAAUCACUGGGCUUAAAGCGUGUGUAGGUGGAAGCGUAAGUACCUUGUGAAAUCCCCAGGCUCAACCUGGGAACUGCGUCUGAUACUGGAUGGCUUGAAUUCGGGAGAGGGAUGCAGAAUUCCAGGUGUAGCGGUGAAAUGCGUAGAUAUCUGGAGGAAUACCAGUGGCGAAGGCGACUUCCUGGCCUGUUCUUGACGCUGAGGCGCGAAAGCUAGGGGAGCAAACGGG